CUGCCUACUUUGCUCGGCUCGGCGCUAAACUUGCACUCCAGGUAUUCUGACUUGGAUCUGCUUAAUUUGAAACCCUUAGACUCGAGAGUCUGUCUCCAUACCUCUAACCUAUCAAUAACACCGACCCUCGUCUCGUCUAUCAAGACUAUGUCAUCAGCAAAUAGCAUACACCAAGGCACAUCCCCUUGAAUAGGUCGGGUUAGAGCAUCC
rnacentral:lncRNA from 1 species